ACCACCAUUCCAACCUUUUCUCCAUUUUACCCUUCUACCAUCCCUCCCACUUAUCCCACAACCAUACCAAACCUAACUCCAACCCCUACUCCCAACCCAAGUUUUCCUUCAUAUCCACAUCACCUUCAUGACCCAUCAUACAACCCACCACCAAUUUUCACCUAUCCACCUUACUCUUCAUACCCAAACAGCACCGCAUCACCAUCACCAAACCAUUACACAUCAUACACAACUUCUUCUCCAUCUGAUUACGCAUAUUCAAAUCACUACAACUACACCCAACACCCAUCAUACCACACAUCAUUUCUUCCUCAACAACCAAAUCAGACUCCUAAUUCCAACUAUUCACAACAUAUUACAACAUCUCACACUGCAGAUCAACAUAUUUCCUCUAAGCCUGCUGAAAAGGAAUGGGAAGAAUCUCAUAGAGUUUUUACUGAAAAAAUGCAAGCCAUUCACCUUGCUCUCAAGGAAAACCUCCAAAAAGUAUCUGACAAAUAUACAGCUUUGAAACAGAGCAGGCAGGCAGGAGAGACUUCUUACAACAAAUUCAGAGAAAGUUGCAGAAGAAAAACCACAAACAGAAGAAACUGAGUUUACUAUUUCAGUCGAAGAAAAAGAAUCAACAGAAGAGGACAACGUGGAGAAGAAACAAGAAUUUAAAACUCACCGUGAUUCAUUAUCACAGUUGCCUCCUUCGUGUCCAAAACUACCACCAACACAGUUUCUUUCAACUGUGUCGUCGCCGGCGCUGC
rnacentral:lncRNA from 1 species